CAAUAGCGUAUAUUUAAGUUGUUGCAGUUAAAAAGCUCGUAGUUGGAUUUCGGUUAAGAGCGACCGGUCCGCCGUUUGGUGUGCACUGGUUGGUUUUAACUUCCUGUAGAGGACGUGCUCCGGGUUUAACGACCUGGACUCGGAGUCUACGUGGUUACUUUGAAAAAAUUAGAGUGUUCAAAGCGGGCUUACGCUUGAAUAUUUCAGCAUGGAAUAACACUAUAGGACUCCUGUCCUAUUUCGUUGGUCUCGGGACGGGAGUAAUGAUUAAGAGGAACAGUUGGGGGCAUUCGUAUUUCAUUGUCGGAGGUGAAAUUCUUGGAUUUAUGAAAGACGAACUUCUGCGAAAGCAUUUGCCAAGGAUGUUUCCAUUAA
rnacentral:rRNA from 1 species